CGGGCGCUUGCGCGUCCCGCCGGCGACCGGCGCACGGGUGAGUAACACGUAUGCAACCUGCCCCGCCAGGGGUACAACCCUCCGAAAGGGGGGGCUGAUACCGCGUACAUCCCCUGGGGGCAUCCCCGGGGGAGGAAAGCCCUUUUGGGCGGGCGGGGAUGGGCAUGCGGCGCAAUAGGAAGACGGCGGUGUGACGGACCACCGUUCCGACGAUGCGUAGGGGUUCUGAGAGGAAGGCCCCCCACACUGGUACUGAGACACGGACCAGACUCCUACGGGAGGCAGCAG
rnacentral:rRNA from 1 species